ensembl:lncRNA
GCACUGUUCAGAGCAUCCCCCAUUUCUGAUGGUGCAAAAUGUGUUAAGCUUAAAAAUACAAGAUAAAACUAAAAGUGUAAAGUUCAUUAAAACAUUUUUAGAUCCUUAUAAUAUUAAUUUGGGUUUCUUGUUUUGUAUUCCAGUUUUUCAGUUACAUCAGUUCUGUGUUUUCAGACUCUUCAAGCUGCCCUACUGUGAUGACAGAAAGCUUCUGAAGGAAGAAGACACUGAGAUUCCAGAGGAACUCAUUAUGCCAGAAGAUGAGAACACUGAUCAAUUAGGAAUACAGAAACCUAAAGUCGCUUUUGGAGAAAUGAGGAUGAAGAGGUUCUGCGGCACGGGGAAGGCGAGAGGAGGUCCCUGUGCCUGGCUCCUGUUGCCUCAUCGCUGUUGUAACAAAAUCCCAGCUCUUGGCCCCAGCCCAUCGGACUCUGGCUGAGCCACACUGAUCUCUGCCUGCUCCCAAAACGUCACUGCAGCUGAGAAUUCAGCCACCAGCUGCGGAAGAGCUCCAUUUGAUGCGCAGUGUGGAAGCUGCUGCCGCGUAGUGGCAUGAACUACUGAGUGCACAUUUCAUCCACAGUGCUCCCCGCGUUGGCUUACGGCAGGCUACAAACUGAAACUGAAAUCCUGCAUUCCUGAAGUCAAAGCAAACCCAUUUGCUUCACUGAACCCAAAAUACCACUAUGGAUCCCAAUACCCCCAAAUUCUCAGUGUGGCUCAGAUCACCGAGGAAAGCAAUGGCG